AAAUGCGAUAAGUAAUGUGAAUUGCAGAAUUCAGUGAAUCAUCGAAUCUUUGAACGCACCUUGCGCUCCUUGGUAUUCCUUGGAGCAUGCCUGUUUGAGUAUCAUGAAAUCUUCAAAGUAAAUCUUUUGUUAACUCAAUUGGUUUCUACUUUGGUAUUGGAGGUCUUUGCAGCUUCACACCUGCUCCUCUUUGUUCAUUAGCUGGAUCUCAGUGUUAUGCUUGGUUCCACUCGGCGUGAUAAGUUAUCUAUCGCUGAGGACACUGUAAAAGGUGGCCAAGGUAAAUGCAGAUGAACCGCUUCUAAUAGUCCAUUGACUUGGACAAUACUUUUAUGAUCUGAUCUCAAAUCAGGUAGGGAUACCCGCUGAACUUAAGC
rnacentral:misc_RNA from 1 species